rnacentral:rRNA from 1 species
CGGACCAAGGAGUUUAGCGUGUGCGCGAGUCAUAGGGUGGAAAACCUAAAGGCGCAAUGAAAGUGAAAGGAGUCCUACGCUCCCGAGGGAGGAUGGGCGUAACGCCUUCGCAGGCGCCGUCCCGCACUCCCGGGGCGUCUCUUUCUCAUUACGAGUGGAGGCGCACCUGUAGCGCACACGCUGAUACCCGAAAGAUGGUGAACUAUGCCUGGCCAGGACGAAGCCAGGGGAAACCCUGGUGGAGGUCCGCAGCGAUUCUGACGUGCAAAUCGAUCGUCGGAGCUGGGUAUAGGGGCGAAAGACCAAUCGAACCAUCUAGUAGCUGGUUCCUUCCGAA